AUUGAACGCUGGCGGCAUGCCUUACACAUGCAAGUCGAACGGUAACAGGUCUUCGGAUGCUGCCGAGUGGCGCACGGGUGAGUAAUACAUCGGAACGUGCCCAGACGUGGGGGAUAACGAGGCGAAAGCUUUGCUAAUACCGCAUACGAUCUAAGGAUGAAAGCAGGGGACCGCAAGGCCUUGCGCGCUUGGAGCGGCCGAUGGCAGAUUAGGUAGUUGGUGGGAUAAAAGCUUACCAAGCCGACGAUCUGUAGCUGGUCUGAGAGGACGACCAGCCACACUGGGACUGAGACACGGCCCAGACUCCUACGGGAGGCAGCAGUGGGGAAUUUUGGACAAUGGGCGAAAGCCUGAUCCAGCAAUGCCGCGUGCAGGAUGAAGGCCUUCGGGUUGUAAACUGCUUUUGUACGGAACGAAAAGGCUCUGGCUAAUACCUGGGGCACAUGACGGUACCGGAAGAAUAAGCACCGGCUAACUACGUG
rnacentral:rRNA from 1 species